AUUGAACGCUGGCGGCAGGCUUAACACAUGCAAGUCGAGCGGGGUGAUGGUGCUUGCACUAUCACUUAGCGGCGGACGGGUGAGUAAUGCUUAGGAAUCUGCCUAUUAGUGGGGGACAACAUCUCGAAAGGGAUGCUAAUACCGCAUACGUCCUACGGGAGAAAGCAGGGGAUCACUUGUGACCUCGCGCUGAUAGAUGAGCCUAAGUCGGAUUAGCUAGUUGGUGGGGUAAAGGCCUACCAAGGCGACGAUCUGUAGCGGGUCUGAGAGGAUGAUCCGCCACACUGGGACUGAGACACGGCCCAGACUCCUACGGGAGGCAGCAGUGGGGAAUAUUGGACAAUGGGGGGAACCCUGAUCCAGCCAUGCCGCGUGUGUGAAGAAGGCCUUAUGGUUGUAAAGCACUUUAAGCGAGGAGGAGGCUCUUUUGGUUAAUACCCAAGAUGAGUGGACGUUACUCGCAGAAUAAGCACCGGCUAACUCUGUGCCAGCCGCCGCAGUAA
rnacentral:rRNA from 1 species